AUGAACGCUGGCGGCGUGCCUAAUACAUGCAAGUCGCGCGCACGGAUGAGAAGCUUGCUUCUCUGAUGUUCGCGGCGGACGGGUGAGUAACCCGUGGAUAACCUACCUAUAAGCCUGGGAUAACUUCGGGAAACCGGAGCUAAUACCGGAUAAUAUUUUGAACCGCAUGGUUCAAAAGUGAAAGACGGUCUUGCUGUCACUUAUAGAUGGAUCCGCGCUGCAUUAGCUAGUUGGUAAGGUAACGGCUUACCAAGGCAACGAUGCAUAGCCGACCUGAGAGGGUGAUCGGCCACACUGGAACUGAGACACGGUCCAGACUCCUACGGGAGGCAGCAGUAGGGAAUCUUCCGCAAUGGGCGAAAGCCUGACGGAGCAACGCCGCGUGAGUGAUGAAGGUCUUCGGAUCGUAAAACUCUGUUAUUAGGGAAGAACAUAUGUGUAAGUAACUGUGCACAUCUUGACGGUACCUAAUCAGAAAGCCACGGCUAACUACGUG
rnacentral:rRNA from 1 species